UGAGGAACUUGCCCAUGAGCGGGGGACAACAUUCGGAAACGGACGCUAAUACUCCAUAGGUGGAUUGGUCGCAUGACGAAUUCAUUAAAGGUGGCUUUGCUACCACUCAUGGAUAGCCUCGCGGCGUAUUAGCUAGUUGGUAAGGUAAUGGCUUACCAAGGCAGUGAUACGUAGCCGACUUGAGAGGGUGAUCGGCCACACUGGGACUGAGACACGGCCCAG
rnacentral:rRNA from 1 species